CGGCGGAAGCUAGCGCUACGUCUCCUCUUCCGACAGAUACUGCUUUAAAAGCGUAUUUAAAGCCCUGGCUGUAGUUGCGGGAGCAGUGGACAACCUAUGCAACAAAAGCUGCUGCAGAGCCGAGAACUGUCCGACCACAUAGCGGACGAAAACACGGAGCCAGCGGCUGACACGACACGGCGAGGUACGACUGCAGGGCUUAAAAUUGCAGCUUGGACCAAACUACGACGUCUCAACGACAUUUAUGAAGCUUUCAAGGCCUUUUGGUGAGUCUCGCGUACACAUGCACACGAAAAGCAUUUUAAAGAUCAUCUCGUGUGUUUCACUUUGGUGUUUGGUCCACGCAAAAAUAUAAAAGACUUGAAGAAAGAGUCGUAAAUGGCCAACAGAUGUUGUGUUUUAAGUUUAAUAUGUUUCUGUUGUGCCGAAUCGGAGGUUCACUCCGAGUGACGCGAUCUUGGUUUUGGUUUGGCUUGACCUGACAGUGCACACACAGACGCACGCUCAUGUGAUGCUUGUUACUUCCUCAAAAAAACUAUGUCAGGCUCCUGGUUUCGAUGUGGUUUAGGUUUCAAUUUGUGUGCUAAAGACUAGAUUGUUUAGCUGAAGUGAAAGCUACCGACUUCCUC